GUAACACUCAACCGCGAGGGUCCACGGCUUCAUUCUUGAAGUGAGCCUCAUCCAAUUUGUGAAAGCCUGAAUAGAACAAAAGUCUGACCCUCCGCUGAGUAAGAGAGAAUUCUUCCUGCCUGAAUGCCUUCACACUGAGAUAUGGGUUUUUGUCCUGUUUUCAGAGUAGAACCAAAACAUUGGCUCUUCCUGGACCUUCAACCUACCAGCUUUUGAACUGAACCUACACCAUUGGCUCUCCUGGUUCUCAUGCCUUCAAAUUCAGACUGGUGGGGCAGCCAAGAUGGCCGAAUAGGAACAGCUCCAGUCUAC
rnacentral:lncRNA from 1 species